AGCCCUUCCAGAUCACCCUCAGGCCAAUUACCCUGAGGCUUCCAUCUCUUAAGCUUUGGGGGAAAAUUGGUGCUCUCGAGGCGGGGACCGAGGUGUGAGGGGGUUGAAUAGCUGAUGGGUGUCAUAGUUCGCACGUUGCUGUCACCAGGAAAGCAGUUUCAUAGUGGGCAAUGCUCCAUCACUGUUUCUGUUGCGAUCUUUUGCAUCGAUCGGUCCCAUGUUUGGUGACCCGCUCAGGAAACCUGGAAAACUUUUUUUUUUUUGCAGUUUUUGGCCGGGGCUGGGUUUGAACCCGCCACCUCCAGCAUAUAAGGCCGGUGCCCUACCCCUUUGAGCCACAGGCGCUGCCCUGGAAAACUUUUUUUUUUGUAAAACGUGAAAUAGACUUUGUAGAUGGAGAGAUCAAGAGAAGACAUUGCCUCACAAAGGGCGAGGACCCACUCUUCUAUCCCUGUUUUGAGUUAUGACAACAUGAUGUGGACUGAGACGGCAGUGGGAGAGGUGGAGAAGAGACCUGAGUUCCGACUGCAAUGAGUCUGCUCUUCCUCGGGCUGGUCUUAAAGUCCUGGCCUCAAGUCUUCCAAAGUGGUGGGAUUACAGGCACAGAGUCUCACCUUAUCGCCCUUGGUAGAGUGCCAUGGCGUCACACAGCUCACAGCGACCUCCAACUCCAGGGCCCAGGCGAUUCUCCUGCCUCAGCCUCCCGAGCACCUGGGACCACAGGCACCUGCCACAACGCCCGGCUAUUUUUUUGUUGCAGUUUGGCCGGGGCUGGGUUUGAGCCCGCCACCCUCGGUAUAUGGGUCCGGCGCCCUACCCACUGAGCCACAGGCGCCGCCUGAAAAAGAUACUUACUUUUAAUUCAAUGAAAAAUUAAAAUACUUGAUUUCGUUA